AAACAGUAGUAGUAUUAUUAUUAUUAUUAUGGAAUAAGGUUUCAUCAGAAAGUAUGAUUUUUCUACUGACCUAAGAACUUUAUCAGGUAGGUACUCAUCUCUCUACUUUUAGCAAGCUUGUUAUUUUUUUCCCCUUUGUUGAACAUUAAUUAAUCUUGAUGACCCAAAUAAGAAAGAUUGGAUUUUGAUUUCUCCAGUCUAUUUUUUGUUGUUAUUUUUCGUUUUGCUUCUUGGGGUCUUGAUUUGGGGUGUAUUUUCCAGAUAAUAAAGGUAAACAAUUCUUGUUUCCUCAGCUGACACAGUUUUGUUUAUAUGUGCCUUUUCUUUUGGAAUUUCAGCUUCUUUUGUUCUGUUUUAUCUUUCAUAUUUGCAGGUAAAAUAGGAGCAUUUGUUUCCUAUGCAGUGUAUGAGCAGAAAUUUGCGGUGAAAAAGGAACAAACUUUAAGGGUUUGAAUAGCUGAAUUUACCAAUUUUUUGUUCUCGGAGUUUUAGUUGGACGCAUGGUGUGGGUUUAUGGGAGUAGUUGAUGUUAGAUUUGAUGAAAUAAGCAGAAAUUACCUGGAAAUGUCUGAAAGUUCUUGAAAAAGAUACUGGUUUUGUGGAUAAGUUACUGUAUAUAACAAAAUGUCUCUGAUUCCUGAUAAAAGCAUGUUACCUUCAAGGUCUCUGUCCUGUCUAAUAGCCAUUUCUGUUUUCCUUUUGAUAAUUUCUUCACUUUCCCUUCUUCAAUUUGCUGAUAAUUCUUUCAUACCCAAAUCAGUUUUUAGUUUAGUUCUUGUUAAUAGUUCUUCCGUUUACUUGACUUCAAGUGGAGAAUCCAAAGCUCCUUUCUUGCCUAUUGAAACUUCACAUGAACAAACCCUGAAAAGCCAAGAAUUAGCUUGUCAAACUUCCAGUUUCAGCAAUGAUUCUGUUGGAUUCGGAGUUGGGAAAACUUGUGGCCCGAAAGAAGCUCUUCUUAAAGUGUAUAUGUAUGACUUACCUCCUGAAUUUCACUUUGGGCUAUUAGGUUGGAAAGGAAGUAGGGACGACGAAACAUGGCCUAGUGUUAGUAACCCGAGCCAAAUACCCUCGUACCCUGGUGGCCUAAAUUUACAGCACAGCAUUGAGUAUUGGCUUACUCUUGAUCUUCUAUCCUCAAACAACCCAAAUAUCAAUAGACCAUGCACUGCUGUUAGAGUGCUGAAUUCUGGUGAAGCGGAUGUGAUCUUUGUGCCAUUUUUUUCGUCUUUGAGUUACAAUAGGCAUUCUAAGGUUCAAGGGAAGGAAAAAAUCAGUCUCAAUAGAAUGCUGCAGGAUAAAGUGGUGGAUUUUUUAAAAAGUAGAGAUGAGUGGAAGCGAAGGGGUGGAAAGGAUCAUGUAAUUGUUGCUCACCACCCCAAUAGUAUGUUGGAUGCAAGAGAGAAGCUUGGUUCUGCCAUGUUUGUACUUGCAGAUUUUGGAAGGUAUAGAGCCGAAAUAGCAAAUAUUGGAAAGGAUGUGAUUGCUCCUUACAAACAUAUGGUCCAGACAAUAGGUGCUGACAACUCACCCUCUUUCAGACAACGCGAUACAUUAGUUUACUUUCAAGGGGCAAUCUAUCGAAAAGAUGGUGGAGAGAUUCGUCAAAAUUUAUACAACCUUCUCAAAGAUGAAAAAGAUGUACACUUCACAUUUGGAAGCAUUCAAGCAAAUGGUGUCAGGGAGGCUGGAAGAGGAAUGGCAUCGUCCAAAUUCUGCCUGAAUAUUGCUGGAGACACUCCCUCUUCAAAUCGUCUCUUUGAUGCCAUUGCUAGCCACUGUAUUCCGGUUAUAAUUAGUGAUGAGAUUGAGCUACCAUUUGAAGAUGUUCUCGAUUACUCAGAGUUCUGUGUGUUUGUAAAUUCAUCUGAUGCUGUAAAGAAGGGUUACCUUCUGUACCUUCUUAGAGGAAUGAAGGAAGAUCAGUGGACCAAAAUGUGGGAAAGGAUAAAGGUGCUCGGCAAACAUUUUGGAUAUCAAUAUCCAUCCCAAACUGAUGAUGCAGUGGAUAUGAUUUGGCAGGCAGUUUCAAGAAAGGUGUCGUCUAUGCGACUGAAGGAUCAUCGCGACAAAAGAUAUCACAGGUCACAGCUUUUCCUCAAAGACCAGAUGUCAUGAUUAUUUAUGUGAAAUUUCUGAACAUCAUCCUGGAGUUUUUUAGGAGACCAGCUGUCAGGUCGAGCUUGAUUCUCUACUUUGUGGUCAUCGAAGGUGCAGGCGCUAUAUUCAGCUGCGUAUGUAGGUCCUGCAUUUCAGCAUCCUUAAGUAUCCGAGAAUUUCUCAGGAAAAAUAACUUGCCUCCUCCCCAUCUGAGAGCAAGAUCUAUACUUCUCAGAGCAGAAACUUCCUCUGGUUGAAUUGACAAGAACCCAAUACAAAGAAUUAGGACAAUCACCCUACAGGAAGGACACAACAUUUUUCUGCACUUUGGGGGGCAACAGAAGGAACAAAAGUGUUUUCUAGGCUGAGGUUAUGAUGAGAAAAUAAGAGGUUUGUCUGUGGCUACACUCAGCAUAUCCUGCACAGAGUGCCUGUACAUAUAAACUUGUGUUUCAUCUUUUAUGGGAUUUGCAAGACUAAAGGUACAUAAAGCAGUGAGGGUCCCAAGACAAAACAUAUAGAGAAGUUUAAGAUUCACUUCAAUCAUAAGCCUGUGAUGCUGCAAGCAAUAUAAGGCUGUUUUAGAAGACACUGACAGGUUUGAAUAAAAGUGAAGUUGGAACACCCAUUCUUUAGAAGCCAAGAAUCUAUACAUUUGUUCCCUACAUCCCUUUCAUGCUUUGCCCUUUUGGACCAAACAAUGACCAAAUCCAGUCUUUUGGACUUUAUGCCAACUCAUCUGCCAACUCAUCUAAUUAUAGUUACUACUACCUGUUCUUGAACCUCUAAGCAUUUUAAUUUUAAAGUUUUACUAACAGCUUGAGAAAGCCUA